UACGUAGGGGGCAAGCGUUGUCCGGAUUUAUUGGGCGUGAAGCGCUCGCAGGUGGUUCAUUGCGUCGUGCGUGAAAGACCCCGGCUCAACUGGGGAGGGUCGUGCGAAACGGGUGAACUAGAGGCCAGUAGGGGGAUGCGGAAUUCCGGGUGUAGUGGUGGAAUGCGUAGAGAUCCGGAGGAACACCAGCGGCGAAGGCGGCAUCCUGGACUGGUCCUGACACUCAGGAGCGAAAGCGUGGGGAGCGAUCCGG
rnacentral:rRNA from 1 species